UACUACUAUCUCUUUAACUGAUUACUAGACACGCUUUUGCAAUUGAAACGAUUUCCUUGUACGUACAUACAUAUGUAUAUACUAUGAAUAAACACAUGUGUAAGUACAAUUUUUUUCACUGAGUGCUGUCAAUAACAGAAGCAGAGCUACCGUUUUAUUUGUUCUUUUAACAAUUUUAAGUGGACAACCCUAAUACCGUGGAUUAUAAAAUUGUCAUACUUUUUCAUAUAAAAACAGUAUUUAUAAAAAAAAGUAACUGAAAUCUUAAAAAAAUGAUAUGGUUUAAAAACUACAGUAAUAAAAAAAUAUAUAGACUUAUUUACAAGUAGCAAUAGUAAAAAAAUAAAUAAAAUUGAACACCCUUUCUCACCAACACUCAAAUAACGAAAAAUUAAGUGCGUGUAUGUUUGCUUUGCAUGCGCUCAAUACUUCAGUGCUCUUACACACACAACGCCUCUCUUCUUUUGGAAUGUCUUUCUAACAACAUCACAGUUGUCUCGUUUUUGCGUACUUUUGUUUACGCCAAAGCCUGUUCCGGCCGGUUUUUGUUGACAUAUUUUUAACAAAAGUCAAAAUACAAACAAACAAACAACGCGAUACUGUUAGUACGCGAGUAUUUAUAUACAGCAGAGCGCGAGAGAGUAACAACAAGCAACACUUGAGAAGAGCAAUAAUAACACAACGAAAUUGUGUACCGCUGUUAUAUACUAAACUGUUGUUGUGUGGUUUUGCUUGGUCUGGUGAUUUGUUUAUUUUCACACUUUUUCACCUAUCUGCUUUGUUGUGCUUUCGUUAGUGCUGCUUCUUGAAUUUUUAAAUAUACUAUAAGUGUAUUGUAUUGUACUGACACACAUGCGAGGCAUAUACAUACAUACAUAUGUACAUAGUUUUUUGUUAUUUUUAUUUAAAUGCUGUUUAAAAAAUGCCUGCGAGUGAGCGAGUGAAUGGAUGAGCGAACGCGGUUGAGAAUGCAAUCGUGGCCUUUUAGGGCAACGCGUUGGUAUCGUGUUUUUUGUUUUUGUUUUGUUUAAUUUACACUUUUUUCAUUACCGAACGGGCGAUUCCAUUAGAAUACCUGAAGAAAUUGCGGUGUCGUAAGCAAAACGGAUAUAGUGUGCUGGCUUAGGUGUGGAGAUAAGAAUAUUUAUUGGACAUUUUUAUUGCGUAUUUAAAUAAUUCUUUGCAUUAAAUGUGCAUUUCCGCAUUUAAAGAGCAAAGAAAGUGAACAAAUCAAGUAUGAAAUGGGGAGGAAGAAGGGUUACAGUUCAGCAUGUUUAGUAGACGACAAAGUUGUUCCCCAUUAUACAUAAAAUAACAAAAAGUCAGAAUGUAGGAACCAGCUAUGGACAUACACGAGUACACAAUUGACGAAUACGAAUAUUUCGCGAGGAAAAAGUUCGAAACACAACAAAAAAUAUGUAGGACAAAUGCGAUGAGAAAACUAAAUAAACCAGACAGACGCCAAAAAACGACAAAACAAGUUGUAAAACAAGAGAGUGAAGAAGAGUACGCCGCAGAAUUCGGUAAAAAAAGGCAAAUGCGAGAGCGUGUGCGCGUAGAACAGUUUGAGAGAAGCGAAAGCUUUAUAAAAGGUGUAAAAAACGUCAAGAACAAAAAUAAACAUACACAAAAAAUGUAAGCGAAAUCGCAUUAUAUACAAAUUUAUAAAAAAGAGAGCGCAAUCUAACAAAAUGAGAACCACGUUGUAAACACUUAAGAGAGAGCGCACACACUGCAUAUAUGUACACAUUUAUAAAAACAGAGCGCAUCGCAGCCUAUAUGACAUUAAGAGAGAACUCAUCGCUGCAUAUAUAAAUAUCUAAAGAGAGCUCGUAUACUGCAUACCGAUAUACAUAUGUAUGUAAGAAGAGGGAUACAUUAACUAGCUAGGUGACACAAAAACUAGCUUUUUAUUGGACAAACAUUACUGUCAACAAAAGUGGAUGCGACGUUGCGGGGUGGUAAGAUUUUGAAAACGUGACAUCAACAAACAAGCAUUGAGCGAGCUAGCUGAAGUUUGUUUUCUUUCUUUGUUGUGUUUGCUGCGCUUGAAAUGGAUGAACAGGUGUAGUAGUGCUUAUAGUGGCUGAUUCAAAGAAAAAACAAAAAAAAUUCAAAAAAGAAAUUAAAAAUAAAAAAAACGUAUUAAAAUUGCUAAUAGAACUGUUAUGGUAGGAGUGUUAAAAAAAUAAUGCGCAAUCAAUUUUUUUCAUGUAUAUAUGAGCCUUAUUAAUGAAGACACUAAAUAAAAAAAAAACUCACAAACGUUACUUAACAGUCUGCUAAGGUAGUGCGCUUAUACUGCCACUAAUUUAUCUGCAAAAACUUUGUUAAAUUGUAGGUUUUUUAAUGAAAAAAAUGUGAAGCAUAUUAUUAUUAUUAAAUUUUAAAUAGCAAAAUGUGAUUAAAGGGGUAUUCUGGUUUAGAAGACCGAAUUUUAGGUAUUUUUUUGACGCGAUAAAAAAAAUCAAAAAUUAUUUUGAUUAUCCAUUUUUUUACAUGCUUUUUAUUGAUAUUUUAAGAAUACAAAACAUAAAUAAUAUAAGAAAAAAAAUUUAAUUUAAAAAAACUGCAUGUCGGCGAAGUAGAGACUGAUGAAACAAUGGUUUGUCCUGGUGUGCAGUAUAUAUGUAAGUAUGUAAAUCCUUUCCGUGACCUAAAAUGAAAAUUUAUGCAAAAUCCGUGAAGAGUAAAAUUGUAGUUAUCGCACUACGAAACGUUUUUGAAAAGAAUUUUUUUUUUUUACAAAAUGGUGGAGGUUUGGAAAAAAAGUUUCGUAUUUUCCAUUUUUUUGGUGGUUCGGAAUUUUUUAAUAAUAAAAAAAAAAAAAUCUUUCGAAAGCUCUUCGUAGUGCGAUACUAUAAUAUAUAAGAAAGCUCUGUGUAAAAUUUCAUGUGAAUCGGUUAAGUAGAACUUGAGAUAUCAUGCACACCGUUUCUAGAAAAGUAGUUAUGAGAAAAACGAGUUUAAAGUUUGAGAACUAGUCGCGAGCAGUCGGAGUUGGAGUCACAAAAUGAGCUGUAACUCGGAAAAUAAUUUGAAUUUCGAAAAUGGACAUUUUCUUGAAGGGUUAUACUAUAAAAAUAUGCAAAAAUAAAAUCGAUUUUUUCGUAAUUCUAAACCAGAAUACCCCCUUAAGUAAGCCUGUUUAAAUUAUAUAUGUAUGUAUGUACAUACAUAUAUGCACCAUCUGAACCAUAUGUAUGUAUGUAUAUUCGUUGUCUUGGACAAUAAAAUAAGCUGAAUUUCAUGAA